CCCUUAGUAACGGCGAGUGAAGAGGGAUGAGCCCAGCACCGAAGCCUGCGGCAGUUUUGCUGUUAGGCAAUGUGGUGUUCGGGUCGGCUAGCGGGACCGUAACUCCACUCGAAGUCCAGCAUUGAGUAUGGUUAUCAUUGGAUUUGGCCCAUAGAGGGUGAGAGGCCCGUACGAGUGGAGGUGCAGACAUGUGAUACGGUUCACUAGGUCGGCCUUAGAGUCGGGUUGUUUGAGAUUGCAGCCCAAAGUGGGUGGUAAACUCCAUCCAAGGCUAAAUACAGGCACGAGUCCGAUAGCGAACAAGUACCGUGAGGGAAAGUUGAAAAGUACUCUGAAGAGAGAGUAAACAGUACGUGAAACCGCAUGCAGGUAAACGGGUGGCGUCAAACCGCGAGCCCGGAGGAUUCAGCUGGUUGGGAUGUAUAUUAUUUGGCCAGAAUAAGAUUUAGUGGUCCGCUCUCUCAUUGUGAGAGUGGAGUGAGGUAUGAGGGUGUGUGUGUGUGUGUGUAUUUGUGGUUGAGUGUUACGCACUUGUGGUGUAGCGCUUGCCAUUGCGCAUACGUAUCUCUACUGAGCUAUAUGUGCCGGGUGGGUGCCGGAGUAUGCCACUAAUCUGUAGGGCCGCCUGAUCAGUGCAAUUUCUCCGUGGUAAACAUCACGACCGAUGGAAUUGCCAGUCCAUUGUAGUCAAGUCGUACUCAUGUGGCUAUUGGAGUUCGCUUCAAUGUGGUUAUGUGAGUGUGAUCGCAGGUGGAACAAGUAAACGGCGUAGCGUUGUUUCGGCAUUGUUACGUGCUAUCGUGUACUUACCAUCAACGAGUUGUUGUGUAGUGGUGUGCCUUGAUUAUGCAGCAACUUGGCGGACUGCAAUGGUAAAAAUGACUGUGCAAGGCAUCGGCAUUAUCCACCUCACACAUAUACGUGCAAACGUGUGUGUGUAUGUAUCCGGCGGGCUUAGCACAUAAGCCUUUAUGGAGACUCAUUGCUGUAUAUAUGCAUUAUGCGUGAUUGUCGUUUUGCCUACAAAAAGUAGGUGCGUCAGUCGUAUAGUGUACAUUUGAUUUAUACGGUAAUUGUAUGUCUCUAAUGCAUGUGAUACAGUGGGUGUAAUAGUCAGUGAUGCUGUGGUAGACGAGCUACCCGACCCGUCUCGAAACACGGACCAAGGAGUUUAACAUGUGUGCGAGUCAAAGGGUUAUACGAAACCCCAAGGCGUAGUGAAAGUAAACAUUGUAUUAUACUUGUUGUAGUACAAUAAGGUGAGAUCUCACUGUGUGUAUAUUUAUUAUAAAGCAGUGGGCGCAUCACCGGCCCGUCCCAUGAUGUGGUCAUUGGCAUUGAUAUGUGUGUACAUGCACUCGUUGUGUGUAUACUAGUAUCAGCUAGUGCGUCAUCGGGGCGGAGCAUGAGCACACACGUUGAGACCCGAAAGAUGGUGAACUAUGCUUGCGUAGGUUGAAGCCAGAGGAAACUCUGGUGGAGGACCGUAGCGAUUCUGACGUGCAAAUCGAUCGUCAAACGUGAGUAUA
rnacentral:rRNA from 1 species